GAUGAACGCUGGCGGCGUGCUUAACACAUGCAAGUCGAACGGAAAGGCCCAAGCUCGCUUGGGUACUCGAGUGGCGAACGGGUGAGUAACACGUGGGUGAUCUGCCCUGCACUUCGGGAUAAGCCUGGGAAACUGGGUCUAAUACUGGAUAGGACCACUUCUUGGAUGGUGUGGUGGAAAGUUUUUUCGGUGUGGGAUGAGCUCGCGGCCUAUCAGCUUGUUGGUGGGGUAAUGGCCUACCAAGGCGUCGACGGGUAGCCGGCCUGAGAGGGUGUACGGCCACAUUGGGACUGAGAUACGGCCCAGACUCCUACGGGAGGCAGCAGUGGGGAAUAUUGCACAAUGGGCGCAAGCCUGAUGCAGCGACGCCGCGUGGGGGAUGACGGCCUUCGGGUUGUAAACUCCUUUCGCUAGGGACGAAGCGUUUUUGUGACGGUACCUGGAGAAGAAGCACCGGCUAACUACGUG
rnacentral:rRNA from 1 species